rnacentral:rRNA from 1 species
UACGUAGGGUGCGAGCGUUAAUCGGAAUUACUGGGCGUAAAGCGUGCGCAGGCGGUUUUGUAAGCCAGAUGUGAAAUCCCCGGGCUUAACCUGGGAAUGGCCGUCGAAACUGGCGAACUGGAGUGUGGCAGAGGGGGGUGGAAUUCCGCGUGUAGCAGUGAAAUGCGUAGAGAUGCGGAGGAACACCGAUGGCGAAGGCAGCCCCCUGGGCUGACACUGACGCUCAGGCACGAAAGCGUGGGGAGCAAACAGG